rnacentral:rRNA from 1 species
AGUGAACGCUGGCGGUAGGCCUAACACAUGCAAGUCGAACGGCAGCACAGUAAGAGCUUGCUCUUACGGGUGGCGAGUGGCGGACGGGUGAGGAAUACAUCGGAAUCUACUUUUUCUUGGGGGAUAACGUAGGGAAACUUACGCUAAUACCGCAUACGACCUACGGGUGAAAGCAGGGGAUCUUCGGACCUUGCGCGAUUGAAUGAGCCGAUGUCGGAUUAGCUAGUUGGCGGGGUAAAGGCCCACCAAGGCGACGAUCCGUAGCUGGUCUGAGAGGAUGAUCAGCCACACUGGAACUGAGACACGGUCCAGACUCCUACGGGAGGCAGCAGUGGGGAAUAUUGGACAAUGGGCGCAAGCCUGAUCCAGCCAUACCGCGUGGGUGAAGAAGGCCUUCGGGUUGUAAAGCCCCUUUGUUGGGAAAGAAAAGCAGCAGGUUAAUACCCCGCUGUUCUGACGGUACCCAAAGAAUAAGCACCGGCUAACUUCGUG